ACAGGACUGCAAAACUGAGCACUUUCUCUGAGCCAGAGCCGGUAUUGAAUGUAGAGACACAGAGAUGAGCAAAGGUCCCAGAAGGGAGCGGACUGCACAGUAAGUGCGGAAACUGGCUAUCAUGGCUGUGGGACUGCCAAGUCUAAAAUCCACAAGGCAGGGCUGGAAACAAGCAGGAGUCGGUGCUACAGUCUUGAGAAGGCAUUUCUUCUUCCCCAGGAAACCCCAGUUUUUGCUCUUAAGGCCUUCAACUGAUUGGAUAAGGCCCACCCACGCUGCAAGAGUGCCCGCCUGCAGCAUGUUUCCCUAAAAGGCUGCUGAAUCUUCAAAUCUGUCCCUAAUCGGAAGAAAAAACUAGAACAGUGCAGUGCACCAAAGAAGGAUGGAUUACUGUAAGGCCCGUGAUCUGCUCUGGAGGUUCUGGACUUUGGGAGUCUCCGGUGAUGGGCAGGUGGUAAGACA